UGGGGAAUAUUGCACAAUGGGCGCAAGCCUGAUGCAGCCAUGCCGCGUGUAUGAAGAAGGCCUUCGGGUUGUAAAGUACUUUCAGCGAGGAGGAAGGCGUUGUGGUUAAUACCGCAGCGAUUGACGUUACUCGCAGAAGAAGCACCGGCUAACUCCGUGCCAGCAGCCGCGGUAAUACGGAGGGUGCAAGCGUUAAUCGGAAUUACUGGGCGUAAAGCGCACGCAGGCGGUCUGUCAAGUCGGAUGUGAAAUCCCCGGGCUCAACCUGGGAACUGCAUCCGAAACUGGCAGGCUAGAGUCUUGUAGAGGGGGGUAGAAUUCCAGGUGUAGCGGUGAAAUGCGUAGAGAUCUGGAGGAAUACCGGUGGCGAAGGCGGCCCCCUGGACAAAGACUGACGCUCAGGUGCGAAAGCGUGGGGAGCAAACA
rnacentral:rRNA from 1 species